GACGUAGGGCGCGAGCGUUGUCCGGAUUUAUUGGGCGUAAAGAGCUCGUAGGCGGCUUGUCGCGUCGACUGUGAAAACCCGGGGCUCAACUCCGGGCCUGCAGUCGAUACGGGCAGGCUAGAGUUCGGUAGGGGAGAUCGGAAUUCCUGGUGUAGCGGUGAAAUGCGCAGAUAUCAGGAGGAACACCGGUGGCGAAGGCGGGUCUCUGGGCCGAUACUGACGCUGAGGAGCGAAAGCGUGGGGAGCGAACAGG
rnacentral:rRNA from 1 species